rnacentral:lncRNA from 1 species
GUCUAAAACGGGAUUGUGGGGCCCACAAUUGGAAUCUCGAAAACGAAUCCUUGGAAACGUCCCAAAUACCUUACUAAACUAAUAUCCCAAAAAUUUAGCACAACCAGAUGCCUAAAACAUAGCAAAUCAGCCACAACAAUUAAAAUGGGCAGUCCCUUGAUCACCAAUUUCUGGAAAAACGAGACCCUUUCAACCCAAACAGAUUAUACCACGACGAUCCUUGCGAAAAACUCUACAAGUUAGCCACAAGAAUGACUCAAAACGGACCUAAGAUGAUCAAGAUCUCACAUUUCAAAAAUUCAACAACAAUUCAAUCCGGAAAUCACCCUGGCAGUGGCUAAAAUCGAUUCCUUACCUCAAACGAAGCCUCCCCUCGCGUUUUUGAGAUCACCGCUAGAUUCCCCACGAAAUUCUCUUGAAGUUAGCCUUUUGA